AUAUAAACACCUUCUCCUCUCAUUCUAAAACACACAUUCCUUGAUCCAUUUCAUCUCCUUGUCUCACCAUUUCCUCUCCAAUUUCCUUAGUUAUCACGUCCUCUCUUCUCAUUCUCUCACACAUCUCUUCCAUCACAUAUACACACCAUCCACUGCCCUAAAUCAGAAACCACACCUCCAUACUCUCCCCUUAUCAUAGCUCAUGAGAUCCCUACUCCAAGGAGAAGCCGUAGCCUCCAUCUUCCAUCAAAUCAUCUUCCAUCAUCUUGUCGUACUCCUACUUUGAAGACGCCUCAAGCUUUCUUGAAGAAUAAUCAAAGGUAAUUUUGUGCGCUUAAUUCAGGCGUACCACUAGCCUAGCAUAUUAACUAUGUUUUGAUCUUGUGUUUCUCAAGCAACAUACUCACUGGAUACGGUCCCAGUACCAUCAGCAACUUAUCUUGAUGAGAACAUGAGUUGUAGGACUGUUACAUGUUUUCUACAACGUAUUGUAUGUGCUUGAUUGAGAUGGCAAGGCAAGCUGGGCCAACUGAGACUGGAAGUUGUCCCAAGUAAGAGGAAACUAAUCAACAUGCAAAAAGUUGCGAAGAAGUUAUGUGGCAGAAUGUGUAGUUGGUGGAUUUUGUACCACACAUGUAUUCCCACCUAGCUUUGAAUUAAGGAAGGUCUAGAGGACCUGGGUGCUUUUGGAUACCAAUAUCCAACUUUCCAUGUAAGCUUCUUUGGUUUCUUUCGCUCAGAUGGCAAGGCAAGCUACAAUGAAAUCAGUGCUUGAAGUCAUUCUAGACCAUAAACUAGGUAUACUAUUAUACUCUUAAGAAAUGUAUAAAGCAAACAAACCUGCGGCAUCGUGCUGGAGGUAUUACUUAGUUUAUUUUAUUUUGAUGUUUGAUU
rnacentral:lncRNA from 1 species